GAAAACAACUAUGUAUGCAUUAAUAAUCAUGAAGUUUUAAAAUUUUAUUAGCAGUUAGGUUCAAAGAUUAUGAAUAUUACAAUCUAAUAUUUUGCAUGGUCAGCUUUUAUUAUAUGAAUAUGAACAAUUAUGUUAUUUUCCCCUUGUUUUAUUUUGUUUGUGCAUUUAAAAUUUAUUUUUUGUAAACAACUGUUUUACAAGCAAGUUCAAUGAAGAAAUAAUGCCUGGUGAAUGCAGCAAACCAGUCUAAAUAAAAGAAGUAGGAUUUAUUUUUACCCUCAGGAGUCACUCAGGGACUUAAUCAAACAUCUAAAAAGGACCUUGCUUUUAAAACAUUUGUGGUUCACAAUGCAGGUGAGCUUAUUUGAUAAGCACACAUAUUAGAAUGUAUAUUUCAAAAAAAGCAGUUAUCUGUUUAGAUGGCUAUAGAUUCUGGAUAAUGCAUUAAGCUGACAUAGGAAGCACAGAUUCAAAAUUUGUGAUUGAAAUUGUUACUAUAGUCCAAUAAUUGUAAUCAUAGUCCGACAGAUUCUACCUGUGAAGGACCAAAUAAAAAGAUUUCAUUG
rnacentral:misc_RNA from 1 species